rnacentral:rRNA from 1 species
GUCGAUUUGGAGGUUGUGCCCUUGAGGCGUGGCUUCCGGAGCUAACGCGUUAAAUCGACCGCCUGGGGAGUACGGCCGCAAGGUUAAAACUCAAAUGAAUUGACGGGGGCCCGCACAAGCGGUGGAGCAUGUGGUUUAAUUCGAUGCAACGCGAAGAACCUUACCUGGUCUUGACAUCCACAGAACUUUCCAGAGAUGGAUUGGUGCCUUCGGGAACUGUGAGACAGGUGCUGCAUGGCUGUCGUCAGCUCGUGUUGUGAAAUGUUGGGUUAAGUCCCGCAACGAGCGCAACCCUUAUCCUUUGUUGCCAGCGGUUCGGCCGGGAACUCAAAGGAGACUGCCAGUGAUAAACUGGAGGAAGGUGGGGAUGACGUCAAGUCAUCAUGGCCCUUACGACCAGGGCUACACACGUGCUACAAUGGCAUAUACAAAGAGAAGCGACCUCGCGAGAGCAAGCGGACCUCAUAAAGUAUGUCGUAGUCCGGAUUGGAGUCUGCAACUCGACUCCAUGAAGUCGGAAUCGCUAGUAAUCGUAGAUCAGAAUGCUACGGUGAAUACGUUCCCGGGCCUUGU